rnacentral:misc_RNA from 1 species
UCCGAGUUGACCCCGGCAGUCUCCUACGAGUCCCCGGCAUUACCCGCUGGCAACAUAGGACAAGGGUUGCGCUCGUUGCGGGACUUAACCCAACAUCUCACGACACGAGCUGACGACAACCAUGCGGCACCUGUGUGCAAGUCUCUUGCGAGAAGGAACCCAUCUCUGGGAACCGUCCUGCCAUGUCAAGGGCUGGUAAGGUUCUGCGCGUUGCUUCGAAUUGAACCACAUGCUCCACCGCUUGUGCGGGCCCCCGUCAAUUCCUUUGAGUUUCAGCCUUGCGGCCGUACUCCCCAGGCGGGGUACUUACUGCGUUAGCGACGGCACCGAAGGGGUCGCUCCCCCCGACGCCUAGUACCCAUCGUUUACGGCGUGGACUGC